UUAGGAAUCUUGGACAAUGGGCGCAAGCCUGAUCCAGCCAUGCCGCGUGAGUGAUGAAGGCCUUAGGGUUGUAAAGCUCUUUCAGCGGGGAAGAUAAUGACGGUACCCGCAGAAGAAGCCCCGGCUAACUUCGUGCCAGCAGCCGCGGUAAUACGAAGGGGGCUAGCGUUGCUCGGAAUCACUGGGCGUAAAGCGCACGUAGGCGGCUUUCUAAGUCAGGGGUGAAAUCCUGGAGCUCAACUCCAGAACUGCCUUUGAUACUGGAGAGCUUGAGUCCGGAAGAGGUGAGUGGAACUCCGAGUGUAGAGGUGAAAUUCGUAGAUAUUCGGAAGAACACCAGUGGCGAAGGCGGCUCACUGGUCCGGUACUGACGCUGAGGUGCGAAAGCGUGGGGAGCAAACA
rnacentral:rRNA from 1 species